UACGUAGGGUGCAAGCGUUAAUCGGAAUUACUGGGCGUAAAGCGUGCGCAGGCGGUUGUGCAAGACCGAUGUGAAAUCCCCGGGCUUAACCUGGGAAUGGCAUUGGUGACUGCACGGCUAGAGUGUGUCAGAGGGGGGUAGAAUUCCACGUGUAGCAGUGAAAUGCGUAGAGAUGUGGAGGAAUACCGAUGGCGAAGGCAGCCCCCUGGGAUAACACUGACGCUCAUGGCACGAAAGCGUGGGGAGCAAACAGG
rnacentral:rRNA from 1 species